UUCGGCUGAGGGGAAGGAGGCACGCGACUGAGUGACAAUGGGUGUGAACCGACCUUUCUCUGUCAGCCUGCAGUGGGUCUGCCACCCUCUCAGGGAGAGCUCAAUGGCUGGAACGCACUGCAAGACAGAAGAAGAAUUGGAGUGGGGGCUGAUUUUGUCAUCACCAGUGAGUCCUCAGGGCUGUGGGUCUGUCGAGGCCCGGCAGCUGGCCGGUGAAGAAGAUGCAAAGAGGUCUAUGUGUAAAGCAUAACCAGCCUUCCACACAUCUGGAAUGCUUCCACGAUCUGUCUGCACGCAGCUGCUGGAGGAGGACCAACGUACCCUGGCUCUGCAGUCUCAUGGCAUCACGGCACGUAGCAGAACCUUUCCCUGGAGAAGCGCUGCGUUGUCCCUGCUGCAGCCACAGCUUCAUUCCAUUCAGCUGACGGAGAUUUGUCCAAGAUUGGGGCAUCCUUCUCUUCAUGCUACUCACCAGGCUGAUAUAGACUGGGGACGUGACACCUGGAUCACUCGGGGAGUCAGACCUCUAUUGUAGUUGCACAUCCACUCAGCCUCCAUCUCCCUUCCCCUCCCCAGUUUCCUUGUGUGUGUGUCCAAAUUAGGCAGCCAAAUUGCAAGUCUGAAUUAUGCCAUCUUCCUGGUCGCCAGUGUCACCCUCCUGUCUGACACUUGCUUGCUGGCUCUUUUUAUCAGUUUGUUUUGGUCAGGGUCAUUUCUCAGAGGUUGGGCCAAAAUGACCAGCAUAAUUAGGAAAUCCUUGCAUUUUUCACAAAAAGUCUUGACUCAAUUGAACCUUCUCCUGUAGGCUUGGUUGUUGAGGUCAGAAUUUAAUGGUGUCCUUUACAAGGCGUCUUGAGUAGACAUAAUAAUGUUAUAGGUGUUUAGAUGCUAUCAUGGUCAAAAUAGAAUCUAAAACAAUACAACUCUACUACUCUAUUCAUCCUUUGCAUCGGUAUUACAUGGAGAUCCAAGUGUAGUGAGUCUUAUUUUUAUUUAAAGUUUUACAGGAUGUGAAAAUUCUGCACAUCUGAAUUUGAAAUUAUCUUAAUCCUCUCUAACUUAUACGGAACUGUCUACCUCUCCCUUUGGUCAAUAUAGUAAUUCUUUAGAAAUAAUAAAGAAGGAAAGAGGUUUUGUAAAUUGUUGAAACAUGUGAGCAGUAUGUCUCAUAUUUGCUACAAAAAGCAGAUGUUUGUGAUCUAUAGUAGUGGGCCAAACACUAAUGAGAUGUUUAAGUCUCGUCUUGGUUUCUUUCUCUAAAAUUGGGCAAAAUAAUAAUUCCGUACGUUUCUUGUUCUCCAAACUGCAUAUUUUUAAUUUACUCUGACUUUUAUUCUCUCCCUCGAUUUUCUUCAGGACCUGUACCUGAGGGCUCCUAGGGGCAAAUCUGAGGAACACAAGCUUCUGAUUUUACCAGGUCUGAGAAUUCACAAGAAAAAGAGAUAGUGGAAAGAAUGGGCUCCUUGUGCAACGGGAACUAACACAUCUUUUUAAGAAUUCAAUGUGACUAGGAAUGUUUUUAAUUGAUCCUUUUCAAAUUUAUUUUAACAAAG
ensembl:lncRNA